GCUAGGCGCGGUGGCUUGUGCCUGUAGUCCCAGCUACUUGGGAGGCUGAUACAGGAGGAUUGCUUGAGUCCAGGAGUUCUGGGGUAUAAUGCGCUAUGCCGAUUGGGUGUCCACACUAAGUUUGGCAUCAAUAUGAUGACCGCCUGGGAGCAGGGGGCCACCAAGUUGCCUAAGGCAGGGUGAACCAGCCCAGGUCAGAAAUGGAGCAGGUCAAAGCUCCUAUGCUGAUUAGUAGUGGGAUCGCACCUGUGAAAAGCCACUGCACUGCAGCUUGGGCAGCAUAGUGAGACCCCUGUCUCUU
rfam:Otolemur garnettii contig012650, whole genome shotgun sequence.